GCAGUCGAGCGACAGAAGGGAGCUUGCUCCCGGAUGUUAGCGGCGGACGGGUGAGUAACACGUGGGUAACCUGCCUGUAAGACUGGGAUAACUCCGGGAAACCGGAGCUAAUACCGGAUAGUUCCUUGAACCGCAUGGUUCAAGGAUGAAAGACGGUUUCGGCUGUCACUUACAGAUGGACCCGCGGCGCAUUAGCUAGUUGGUGGGGUAAUGGCUCACCAAGGCGACGAUGCGUAGCCGACCUGAGAGGGUGAUCGGCCACACUGGGACUGAGACACGGCCCAGACUCAUACGGGAGGCAGCAGUAGGGAAUCUUCCGCAAUGGACGAAAGUCUGACGGAGCAACGCCGCGUGAGUGAUGAAGGUUUUCGGAUCGUAAAGCUCUGUUGUUAGGGAAGAACAAGUGCGAGAGUAACUGCUCGCACCUUGACGGUACCUAACCAGAAAGCCACGGCUAACUACGUGCCAGCAGCCGCGGUAAUACGUAGGUGGCAAGCGUUGUCCGGAAUUAUUGGGCGUAAAGGGCUCGCAGGCGGUUUCUUAAGUCUGAUGUGAAAGCCCCCGGCUCAACCGGGGAGGGUCAUUGGAAACUGGGAAACUUGAGUGCAGAAGAGGAGAGUGGAAUUCCACGUGUAGCGGUGAAAUGCGUA
rnacentral:rRNA from 1 species